AAAAUAAUACCAGCCCGAGAACAGGCGCUUCGCGCCUGUCCUGGUCUGGCCCUGCGGGGCUGACUCCUUGACGGUCAAUAUAACUGGAUACCCGCAGGGGUGGCGGCUGCGCCGCCCCCCUGCUUGGUAUCCAGUCAAAGGUGUCAAUUUUAACGCUUCGUGCCUGACGGUGGGUUUCUAUGCACGGCGUGUUGCUUCCGGCCUUCGGUUUGGUACCGCAGGGUCAGCCAUCACUUGUGCAUUGCAUUAAUUAUUA